UACAGAGGGGGCAAGCGUUAUUCGGAAUUAUUGGGCGUAAAGGGCGCGUAGGCGGCCUGGCAAGUGGAAGGUGAAAUCCCUCGGCUUAACCGAGGAACUGCCUCCCAAACUGCUUGGCUUGAGACCGGGAGAGGUGAGUGGAAUUCCCAGUGUAGCGGUGAAAUGCGUAGAUAUUGGGAGGAACACCAGUGGCGAAAGGCGGCUCACUGGACUGGUACUGACGCUGAUGCGCGAAAGCGUGGGGAGCAAACAGG
rnacentral:rRNA from 1 species